rnacentral:rRNA from 1 species
UACAGAGGUCUCGAGCGUUGUUCGGAUUCAUUGGGCGUAAAGAGCUCGUAGGCGGCUAGUCGCGUCGGCUGUGAAAACCUGGGGCUCAACCCCGGGCCUGCAGACGAUACGGGCUAGCUAGAAUUCGGUAGGGGAGACUGGAAUUCCGGGUGUAGCGGUGGAAUGCGUAGAGAUCCGGAAGAACACCGGUGGCGAAGGCGGCCUGCUGGGCAGUAGCUGACGCUGAGGCGCGACAGCGUGGGGAGCAAACAGG